rnacentral:rRNA from 1 species
GUAUCGGAACGUGCCCAGUCGUGGGGAGUAACGCAGCGAAAGACUGUGCUAAUACCGCAUACGAUCUACGGAUGAAAGACGGGGGAGUUCGCAAGGACCUCGCGCGAUUGGAGCGGCUGAUAUCAGAUUAGGUAGUUGGUGAGGUAAAGGCUCACCAAGCCUGCGAUCUGUAGCUGGUCUGAGAGGACGACCAGCCACACUGGAACUGAGACACGGUCCAGACUCCUACGGGAGGCAGCAGUGGGGAAUUUUGGACAAUGGGCGCAAGCCUGAUCCAGCAAUGCCGCGUGCAGGAUGAAG